CUAAUUGAGGAAGAUCGACCUUUAUUUAUUGAAACUGCUUGCAUACAAAAUAUAUUGCACUAUAACCAGACAUGUCAACCCAAACAUCUUAAAUGCUAGUAGUAGUAUGUACAAAAGAAAAGAAAAAUGCCCAAAAAGUGCACACAAGGUUUUACAGCGUUUUUUUUUUUUUCUCUACCCUGGUUGAAGUAUCUACAGAUUCUCUGCGUGUCUUUACUUCCUGGCAUAAUAUAGUUGAACAGCCAACAAUGUGCCUAGAUAGUAUUUGCUUAUGUUAUAUACAUUCUGCAAAUAAAUGUCUGCUGACAUGUGCUGUGGAAUAGCAACCAACAACAAUGACAAUUUUAGGUCUUAUGUCUUUAGAUGGUUCCCCGUGAACCAUGCUGCAACCCCGACGUGACUAACAGCUUAGUGAGGGACGCAAAAGGUCACAUGGGCUUGUAUUACAGCCAAGAGGAGCUGAAUUUUAUCCUUGUAUGUUUGAUACAUACAGAAAGCCAGUAUAGAGAGCUUCUCUUUUGGCAUGUCCAGUCAAAGAUCAAGAUUUGUGUACAAGCUUGGGUCCAUACUUUGGUCACUUCACUGCCUUUGUACGUUAAACUGUUGCUGUAAGAGUAAGAAUCCACACCAAAUGGACAUCAAAUCAUCCAGAUCCCCCCUCUAUCAAGAAAAACAAGGUACCACCAGACAAUCUGCCAGAAAACAUCUUCAACACAGCAACGUUUCAUAAGAAAAACUGUCCAAUACUUGUAUUGUUGUAUUUAUGUCAACUGACAGUAAACUUUAAAUCAUGCCAUUUUGUUUCUUUGUUGUCCUGUAAAGCAGAAACCUCCAGUGAAAGUUAUUUCUGCACUCAGUUUUUAACAGUCUAUUUGCAAUGACAAUAAAAAGGUUGAAAAUGUCACAAGCAGACAAACCUCCAUCCCAAACCCACUAGCUCACAUUUUGAAACUUCAUGUGGGUUAACAGCUUUUUAGGGAGGCAUUUUAAACGCCACCACUGAAAUUUAAACUGGGGUGUCAAACAAUGUACAGUGCAUCUUUACAACCUUUACGGUUCUUUAGAUUAAUCUCUAGGAAUCAGUGCCACUGAGGUGGACACAGUGAAGCGUUUCUAGUCUUAAACGUUCUUUAGGGACUUCAAAUAUCACGCAAAUCUAUUUCUAGGGAAACAUUUCUGAUGCCUCAUCCCUCGUGACCACAUAGAGAUAGCAUGUAUCAGGAUACUCACAGUGAGUUGUUUCCAAUGCAAGUCACUCAAAAACCACAGAACUGAAUAGCAAGGCCAGAACCAGUGAGUUGUGGAAACUUGAACGUAAAGGCUUACUUAGUACCAUUUUCCCAAUGACCCAAACUGGUCAGCAUGCAACAGUCCUUUACUGCUUUUUUUUUUUUUUUUUUUUGAAUGUACAUUUUCCACAGUAUAUAAGCCUUGGUUUAAAACUAUAGUUUGUUAGUAAUGCCCCUAAAAAGGCAACCAAAGCAUGAAAAAACAAACUUCAGCUCUCCCAAAUGUAGUCUUCGGUCUGGAAAUUAAAAACUUCUACUCUGAACUUUGUGUUAGGAGGCACAAUAAAAUACACCAACAAGCAGGUUGUAGCUCACACAAAAAUGCAAAGAAUUUCAUCGUCACUGGUGCAACGGUGUGAAAGUAGGACAUUUGUAGACUCAAUACAAGGGUUUGUUUGUCAUUUCAAAGAGAAUCAGCUCUUGCAAG
ensembl:lncRNA